UGGAGGGAGGGAGAGCGAGGCUGAAUUCAACAAAAUUAGAAGCAGAAAGAGGUCAGUAAUGAUGCCAUGGUGGCCCCAUAGAAUGUCUUUCAUCAACGUGGUUUAGAGUUCUGCCUUUGCAUCUUAUCUGCAAGACCAGUAUAAUGACAAAUGGUGUGUUGCUAAGUUUCCAUUACAUAUAUUUCUAAAAGAAAAACAAUGAUAAAAAUAUCACAAGCACUUGUUGAGAUGCCAGAAAACUAAUUGGUAGUUUCCAAGUUUCAAUGUGCAUGCUAAGAAAAAGACGUGUUUGUUAUCUUCUUGGGAGUAUAUUAAUUGGGAAACUUAUCUGAAUUAACUAGAUUUUUUAAAAAAUGGAUUGUUUUCAUGUUACUGUGUGAACUGUUCCAGGUUUCACUAGUAACUUUAAAGGCUAGCAUCUCACUUUGUAACACUAUGUAUUCGUGUAGAUUUAUGUAAUGAUUUACACACAUUCACAGUAUAACAUUAAGCAAAUGUUAUGUUGCUCCUUCUUGAAUUGGAAACCAAUUUAUUCCUGUAAUAUUAUCUUAUUUUUACUUUAUAUGGAGAUAGUCUCAUUUUAGAAAAUAAUCUUGCUCAUAUACUUCUGUUACUCCAUGAAAUACUAAUUCCUUUGUCUCACCAUGGAGGAAAUGAUUAUCAUUACUGACCAUCUGUCUUAAGCUAAAGAGCGUUAGUCUUCCACAGGGGGAAGUUUUCAUGAAGGUGGAUUAGACAGUUUUGCUUUAUAUGUUUGUACUGUCAUUAUAAAAGUAAACCUUUUAUUUGCACAAUGAAUAACAAAGUCUAAAUUUUGGAAUCAUUAUUUUCUGACUGCAACAAGAAGUUUCUCUUUUUCCUGGACACUGCUCAAAAGCAUGUUAAGUAUCUCUUUGUUCUUGCUGUAUCAUAUUUCAUUAUCUAAUUUAUAUGAUAUUCUUGUCUCCUACACAUUAGUAAAAUACUUUUUUCUUUCUUUCAGUACAUUGGAUUACUUUUCUUCAGCUAACUUGAACUUACGCUCUCAUAAUGAAUGCAUAGUGUUAGUAUACUUAAUUUGUCCUUGACCUUCAGUGGCUCCCAUGGAGAGUAACAUGAAUACUAAUCCUGGCCACGUGGGCCACAGUUUGAAGGUUAUUUGCUUAUGGAAUGCAGACAGUGCAACCUCCUAGAACUCCUUCCAUGGGAUGGUUUCAAGGAGGUUUGGACAUCCUGGCUGAAAUUAUUGUAACAUUAUUCUCUACAAAGCCAUGGCAUACACCUCUGUUUCCAAAUUUGGAAAGGUGUUUGGGCCAGGCUGCAAGGCUCAACAAACAGAGCAAAUGAUGUAAUCCCAGAGGGCAAGCUGUCAAAGUUUAAACAAAGCUGGUGCCUGACCCUUAAUCUGAAAAGUCACCAUAUUAUACUUGUAUGUUUAAAUGAGAAAAUGCCUUUCCUUAAAGCCAACCAACCAACCAACAAAAACUCUUUUAUCUAUGGAGAAUACAGCAUGAAAGAGCAAGGCUAGAUGACGUGGGCAUUUUGAAAUUAGUAGCAUUUUUCUGACAUUUGCAGAAGAUAAGCAAGACCAUGAUCACAUGCAGUCACAUGCCCAGGCAUUCACCAUAUAAACUAUCAUGAAUGAACCCUAUGUGUAUUAAAUAUCUCACAUAACCUGUGAUGAAGUCUUCUUUUUGUAUGAAUGUGAUUGGCAGAUGAGGAAGUGAAUCAGCAGCAGCUCCAACACACUUUCUCCUGAAUGAUGUGAUUUUAAGUUAAAGGAAUUUUUUUUAAAAAAAAUUAGGUUCUUUUACAUCUGCAAUAAUAUUACCCUGGCGCUUUGUACUAGCAUGCUAAAAUAUUUUUGUACAAUUUACCUUUAGGUGUCAAUCAACCAUCUACUAAAAUUUCUCCAGGCUUGAUCUAUGUAUUCUAAUUACAUCACUUCUUUGUAAUGAACUUUGUUAAAAAUUAGUAUCACCACACUUUUCGAUUUGAAGACACAGCCAUUAUGAGGCAAGAUUAAUAGAUUUUGGGAAGAAAAAAUUCACUAAAUGUACCUAUUUAUUGUAGGAUAAAUCAUGGUUUUAUAAGCAUCAAAGUGUGAAGGCAUGUAUCAUCUCAUUAAGGAAAUGCAAUAAAUUAACCAAAUGCCUCAAAACAUAAUGAAUUAAUGUUAGCUAUUGUUAUUGUCUCCCAUAUUUUAUUGCUGUUGUUAUUUUGGUCACAAACACCAGUAUGUACUGCAACUGAUUACUCUGCUUGAGGAAUUCAUGAAUUUGUCUCAAUCAAACAAGGUAUUGUAUCAGCAUUUAACCGUUUGUUUACAAGUCACAUAUAUUUGAAUUUUAUAAGCUUUUGUUCUUUAUUCUUAAAUCUCAACAAUUGUCUCAAGUUCAUAUUGCUUAAAUAAUUUUAAAAGGCAAUUUAAAAGCAGCCAUAGGUAGGAGUUAUUUUAUGCUCAAGAGAGUUUGGAUAAUUACAAGAAUUUACACAUUCUACUAUCUCUGGAGCUUUUUAUUCAGUUACAAGUCUCUCGCUCUCAUUCCGAAGUAUUUAUGUGUAUUCCCCUAAAAUCCCAGGCUUGCCAUGUAAGACUGGGUUCUUUCUCUACUUUCUAGGAGUUCUUCUCUGGGAACUUCAGUUGUUUAAAUAACCAUUUUUAUGGUCUUACAAAUGCUAUUUUCCCAUGACUUACAGAUGAAUAAAAUUCUGCUUUGGUAAACUGCUCUUCUAGGUAGCUAGGGGAGAGAGCCCUGCUGUUCUGAGUCUGUGGUUUCCCUGUAUGUCAUAUUCCAAAAAGUCAAAAUCUGAUGUUUAUGUAUUCAUCAUCGCCACUUUUAAAUAGAAAAACAAUGAAAUAUGACUUACAUAUUAUAUUUUGUGUUUUGUUUGAAAAUGUUGUUUGUAAGAUGCUAUGUCUUUCAUAUACGUAUUGUUGAACUGGACACAACCAGAAAGAUCUGGAUAUUUCAUUUGCCUCCUAGCAAUAGAACCUAGUUUCUAUGGCAAAUAAGAACCACUAAACAUUUCAGUCUCAUCGAACUCAACCAAAAUCCAACCAGGCAAUUUUUUGAGAAUUUAAGGUCAGAAUCCCAACAUCUUAACUACCUUUCCCAAUCUAAAAAAAAGUGCCAGGACUGAAGCAACUUUUAAAAGAAAGGAAACUGACUGGGCGAGAUGGCUUAUUCCUGUAAUCCCAACAUUUGGGGAGGCAGAGGCAGGCAGAUCACUUGAGCUCAGGAGUUUGAGACCAGCUUGGCCAACAUGGUGAAACCCCAUCUCUACUAAAAAUACAAAAAUUAGCCGAGCACGGUGGCAAGAACCUGUAUUUCCAGCUAUUGGGUGACUGAGGCAGAACUGCUUGAACCCGGGAGGCGGAGGUUGCAAUGAGCCAAGAUGGCACCACUGCACUCCAGCCUGGGCAACAGAGCUAGACUCCAUCUAAAAAAGAAAUAAUUAAUUAAUAAAAAUAAAAGAAAGGAAACAGUAAACUUUGCUCAUGUUAUGUUUUCUAGCACUUUCUCAAAUUCAAAAAUUUAUGUGCAAUAAAUCAAAGCUUGUCAAUUGAAAAGUCAUUGCUCUUUGCAAUUACUGCUGGGUGAUCUAGAGGAAGACUUUCAUGAUAUCAUGAAGCACUGCAUUAAUAUGUGUUCCUUCGUAGUCUAAAAUGAUUGUGCAUGUCUUCCAAAUAGUCUUAACAAUUAGUAGACUUUAAAACUACUCACCUUUCAAAUUUUUGCUGAAAAACAUUGCUGGCUGGGCGUGGUACCUCCUCAUGCCUGUAAUCCCAGCACUUUGGGAGGCUGAGGCAGGAGGAUUGCUUGAGCUCAGGAGUUUGAGACCAGCCUGGCCAAUAUGGUGAAACUCUCUUUCUACUAAAAAUACAAAAAUUAGCCAGGUGUGGUUGCACAUGUCCAUAGUCCCAGCUACUCAGAAGGCUGAGGCACGAAAAUUGCUUGAACCUGGGAGGUAGAGGUUGCAGUGAGCUGAGAUUGCACCACUGCACUCCAGCCUGGACAAUAGAUGGAGACUCUGUCUCAAAAAACAAACAAAAAAACCCAGACUGCCAUCAUUACAUAUUCUAUGCAUGUAAUGAACCAUCACAUGUACCUCAUAAACAUAUACAAAUAUUAUUACAUAUCAAUCAAUUUUUUAAAAACAAGAUUGGCAUUAGGAGAAAUACCUAAUGUAGAUGAUGAGCUGAUGGAUGCAGCCAAGCACCAUGGCAUGUGCAUAUCUAAAUAACAAACCCGCCUGUUCCACACAUGUACCCCAGAACUUAAAGUAUAAUAAUAAUUUAAAAAAUUAAAAACAAAACUAAAAAAAAGACAAUUUUCCUUCACUUUAGUUUCAUGAAAGUAUGUGAAUACUCAAUCAUUUUGCAUUCUAGAUCAUUAACUCGAGGUUCCAUCAUGCUCUGCGCACGAACAAAAAGUAAACCACCACAAAACCUUUAUAAAGUGUUCAUUUGACCCAAAAUGUUUCAAGCUUCUAGUUUACGUAUAAUAAAGAAAGCUCCUUUCUAGGAUAUGAUUGAAUUUUAACUUCAUUUCUGUUAAUCCUUACAGGACUUUAAAUCAAGAUUCUUACAUACUUCAGUAAGUAAACGCCUUUGAAUAGGUGACAAGAAUAAAGCACUAAAUACUGAAUUAAACCUAUGGCAAAUAAUAAUAUAGGAAAAUUACAAGGUAUUUUAUUUUUGAUAAUGUAAAAUUUUUAAAAUUUCACAGUCUUCUAAAAUACAGAAUUCUUUAAUAGCUCAGAAAUACCUAUGCUGGGCAAAUGCACAAUUUUGUGGAAUGUGAAUAUAUGUACGUAAUUUCAGAAGAAAAAAUUCAAAGUGAACUAAGUCUGGAAGGUGCUAACGACCAUAUCAUUUCUUAUCACCCCCAUUUCCAGGACAUAUUAUUUGCACAUUCAGAGCUUUCAGAUAUUCUGCAGUAACACAUGAACACAAAACAGUAAUAUACAAGCAUUUAACUCCAGCCUAACAUUUUUCAAGCCUCGUUGACCACAGCGAGCUUCCUGUUAAGAAUCUAAAAUCCCACAUUACCCAGUGAAUCACCAAUUGGAUUCUGAAGUAAUGAUAUAACUAUAUUAUAUUAAUACAUUAUAAAUACAUAACAUUAGUUAUUUUAUUAAAAAGUAAUACAACAUAUCCCUGGGCCAGACACAGUGGCUCAUGCCUGUAAUCCCAGCACUUUGGGAGGCUAAGGUGGAUGGAAAAAACAAGUUUGCUUUUGUUUGUUUUUUUAGAGUCAGGGUCUUGCUGUGUCAUCGAGGCUGGAGUACAGUGGCGUGAUCAUGGCUCACUGCAGCCUCCAACUCCUUGACUCAAGUAACCCUUUGGCCUCAGCUUCCCAAACGGUUGAGACUAUAGGCACACACCACCAAGCCUGACUAAUUUAAAAGAUUAUUAUUAUUUUACAGAGAGAGCCUUGUUAUGUUGUCCAGGCAGUAAAUUCACAAAUAUUCUACUAUUUUAAGUAUAAAGAUUUUAUUAUUUAUAAAAACACUAGUUUAUGCUUUGGGAAGAGCAGAGCAGAGGUUCAGAUAACACCAAAUGGCUCUUUAAGGACGUAAAAUGUGAACUUUGACCUCAGUGAUGUGAGCACUGUGGCUCAGGAGUAGCAAGUUGCUAAAAUGCAGAAGGGAUGGGUAGUACUUCUUGCUUCUCAUGAUGAAUGUUUCUGUAUGUUAAUGACUUGUUGGGUAACUAUUAAGGUACUAGAACUGAUAAAUGUGUACAGGGUCCUCUGCAAUAAAGCUGGUUAUGAAUUUGACCCAGGUGUUUAACAAUUGGGGCUGUUAAGUCUGACCAUACAUCACUGCGAUAGAAUGUGGGCUUUUUCAAGGAUGAAGAUACAAGUCUUAACCACAGUGUAACUUAUAGUUUCCUUAAAAA